GUGUCAGCAGCCGCGGUAAGACGGAGGGAGCAAGCGUUGUCCGGAUUUACUGGGCGUAAAGCGCGCGUAGGCGGCCUAUUAAGUCGGUUGUGAAAGCGCUGGGCUUAACCCAGCAACUGCAGUCGAUACUGGUAGGCUCGAGUUCGGGAGAGGGAAGCGGAAUUCCUGGUGUAGCGGUGGAAUGCGUAGAUAUCAGGAAGAACACCGGUGGCGAAGGCGGCUUCCUGGACCGAUACUGACGCUGAGGCGCGAAAGCUAGGGGAGCGAACGGGAUUAGAUACCCCGGUAGUCCUAGCCGUAAACGAUGGUCACUAGGUGUUGCGGGUAUCGACCCCUGCAGUGCCGAAGCUAACGCAUUAAGUGACCCGCCUGGGGAGUACGGCCGCAAGGUUGAA
rnacentral:rRNA from 1 species